UACGGAGGAUGCAAGCGUUAUCCGGAUUUAUUGGGUUUAAAGGGUGCGCAGGUUGUUUGAUAAGUCAGUGGUGAAAGUCUGUCGCUUAACGGUAGGAUUGCCAUUGAUACUGCUAGACUUGAAUAUGGAUGAGGUAGGCGGAAUGUGUAGUGUAGCGGUGAAAUGCAUAGAUAUUACACAGAACACCGAUUGCGAAGGCAGCUUACUAAUCCAUCAUUGACGCUGAGGCACGAAAGCGUGGGGAUCAAA
rnacentral:rRNA from 1 species